rnacentral:rRNA from 1 species
AGAGUUUGAUCCUGGCUCAGGAUGAACGCUAGCGGCAGGCUUAACACAUGCAAGUCGAGGGGCAGCGCGGGAUAGCAAUAUCCUGGCGGCGACCGGCGGAAGGGUGCGUAACGCGUGAGCGACAUGCCCGUUGCCCGGGGACAACCGGUGGAAACGCCGACUAAUCCCCGAUGGGAUACGAUGCUGCAUGGCAUUGUAUUGAAAGUUACGGCGGCGACGGAUUGGCUCGCGUCCGAUUAGCUGGUUGGCGGGGUAACGGCCCACCAAGGCUACGAUCGGUAGGGGUUCUGAGAGGAAGGCCCCCCACAAUGGGACUGAGACACGGCCCAUACUCCUACGGGAGGCAGCAGUGAGGAAUAUUGGUCAAUGGGCGGAAGCCUGAACCAGCCAUGCCGCGUGCGGGAAGGAGGCCCUAUGGGCUGUGAACCGCUUUUGCCUGGGGGCAAUAAGGGCGUCGCGCACGUCCGAUGAGAGUACCAGGCGAAUAAGCAUCGGCUAACUCCGUGCCAGCAGCCGCGGUAAUACGGGGGAUGCGAGCGUUAUCCGGAUUCAUUGGGUUUAAAGGGUGCGUAGGCUGUGCGUCAAGUCGGGGGUGAAAUUCCGGUGCUCAACACCGGGGCUGCCCUUGAUACUGUCGCGCUGGAGUGCGGAUGCCGCCGGAGGAAUGAGUGGUGUAGCGGUGAAAUGCUUAGAUAUCACUCAGAACACCGAUUGCGAAGGCAUCUGGCGAAUCCGUAACUGACGCUGAGGCACGAAAGCGUGGGGAUAGAACAGGAUUAGAUACCCUGGUAUUCCACGCCGUAAACGAUGAUGGCUAACCGCCGGCGACACACUGUCGGUGGCCAAGCGAAAGCGAUAAGCCAUCCACCUGGGGAGUACGUCGGCAACGAUGAAACUCAAAGGAAUUGACGGGGGCCCGCACAAGCGGAGGAACAUGUG